ACUCCUACGGGAGGCAGCAGUGGGGAAUUUUGGACAAUGGGCGCAAGCCUGAUCCAGCCAUGCCGCGUGCAGGAUGAAGGCCUUCGGGUUGUAAACUGCUUUUGUACGGAACGAAAAGGUGCCUUCUAAUAAAGGGC
rnacentral:rRNA from 1 species